rnacentral:lncRNA from 1 species
CUUACAGAGCUGGCCGGAAGGACCUGGCAGAAGUGGGGGGCCUGAUGUCCCUUUCGCAAAGCUCCCCGGGGAGGCUGUCUUGUAAGGGAUGCUUCCAUCGCUUGUCAUCUCAAGACUCCCCUGGGGAGGCGUGCAAGGCAGCGUCUGCUGGAGUCCGCCAGCCAUGCGGGAAGCCUGUGGAAGGUGCUCCUCUCACCACCACUCCAGCACUUUCUCUGGCCCUUCUGACCCAGCGCACUCUACCUUUGGCCUCCACUCUGGCAGCAGAACCUCCAUCGGCCUUGACCAGAACUCCCCUAGGCCCUGUUGCCAUGAGCUCAGCUCCAGCUCACUCCUGUUGGCCGUUUCCCAACCCAGGCCACGGCCGCAUGAGUUGUCACAUUGAGUUCCUCUCCCGGUGGAACACGAUCAAGAAGCUGCUCGAGACGGAAAUCACGGACAGAAUACAAACGGAGGUCUGGGAAAAAGAACAAGAUGAUCCGGGCACUCCUCAGAUGCUCGAAGCACACGGUAUCAUGUCUGGGCUGAAUUUCCGCUGGGGCCUACCCCUCCUGUCCUUGGGGCCUGCAGAUCUGAAAGCAUGUGAGGCUCAACCCUCGGCCCUUCCACGGUCCCCUUUGCCCCCCGCAGCCACCUGUGAUUCUGGGGCCCCCUCGAAAGCUGACUUUGCACCCUUCAUGGGAAAACCUCUUGAGCCUCCUCCGGGUGACAAAGUCUUAACUUUGACAACAAAAGCAUCAGUUCCCAGCCUGGCCCGUCCCCUCCCCGCUCCCUCAACUGUGUGUGAGGAAGAUCAGAAGGCCCUGGGAGGGACCCUACCUGGCGAAGGCAGUGGGCCCUCGGAAGCCUCUCUCUUGGGACAGGAGGGCCGGCCGCCUUCUCCAACCUUCCCAUUCAGCCUCUCAGAGAGGAAAGGGCAGAGUGGGACCUUCGUGGGGGCCGAGCAAGGCGUCGAGAGCUGAGUUCAGGGUGCCCAGUGGCCAGGAAUGAGCCUCGGGAGGAGAGUCGGGGUGGGGCCUCACCAGAGCCCUGCUGUGGGGUGGCAACACUGGAGGGGGAGUCAUGGUCCCAGUUUGGGAGCCAGGUUGGGGGAAUAGGAGACACCCCCGGGACCAAACCCCUCCAGGCCCUGCCUGAAAAGGAAGAGGUCCUUCACGACAGCCCUUUCAGAAAAAUGUUGAGACGCCUCCUGCCCUGCCUGAGGCCCAACAAGGAGGAAGCACCAGAGGAUCCCCUUGCAAAGGCAAGCCCGCGUCAGCCACCGCCCAGAGCCAGGCACAGGUCACACACAGCUCGGCGUCGGAUGGCGGGGCUGUUCAGGCGCCAUCGACAGUGACAUCCUUCGUCUGCGUCCCCGGAGAGAAACUGAGGCUUGCCGAGAACUUCUGGCCUCCCAGUCGAAGCAUCAUGAAGACCAUUUCAGGCCUCCGAAGCUGGACAUACCUGUUACCACGACGUUCCCUCCUCCCCAGACCAGAGAAGAACAAUGACAGAGGACAGUCCCCAACCUACCUCCAGGGACCACAACUGUCCGACUACGAGGGAAUGGAUCAGAACAGGCGUGGCAACUGGACCUUGCAAUCCAGGCAGCCGCGGUGCCCAGCCAAACCCUGCCAGCCUGGGCUGAGUGUGGCAGCUGCCUCAGCCAAUCCGUUCCCUGCCAUGCUGUCCUCAGAUAUGUGUCUCCUGGGAUUAGUAGACUGUGCCUGACACACCUUUCCUCGUAGGAACGCUUAUCUCCCCAAUCGGGGAAGUGGAGGAACAGAAAACCCGGUUUUACUCCUUAUCCCACCCUCUGUGCUAAUGGUGUCUUCCCACCCCAAUUUUCCCCAAAUACACUUUUUUUCUCCUUAGAGGUCGUGGCUUCUGUGUGUGCCCUGCUAGUGGUCAAAACGGGUCCGCCCUUCCCGAGUGUCUGCUUUGGCUUCCAGAAGGGACAGGGCCACGGGGGGAGGCUGACUGCAGCGUGGCUCACCUGCCCUCACCCCAACUCCCCCACUGCACCUGAAGUCCCCAUCACACCGUCCUUACAAAAACAAACGGAAGCUUUGGGCUGUUUCCAGAUGAGCAAAACCUCUAAGAGCCCAGCCCAGGAUGGGCCCUGCCUGUCCUCUCCUGCGUUCUCUGGCCCUUGAACUUGUGGGGCUGUGGGGAGGGGCUUUGCAGAGGCUCCAGGAAGUGCAGAGACAGGUUCACAGGUCACAGAGUGGGGAGGGGAGUGUGGGGCAGUGCUGGCCCUGAGUCCGGAGGGCGAGGAAGCUUGCCCUGCACCCCGAGCUCUCGCUGGGAAUAGGUGAGGACGCUGCCCCGGGAGCUGCUCCUCUCCCUGCUGAAGCUGCCAUGGAGAUGGGCCUGCGCAUCCCUCUCGGCCCAGCGUCACCGUCCCUCUGUCCUUGUCACAGUCUGGAGCAGCAGCCGCAAGGAUGACUGUGCUCCCGGCUCUGGGGGCAGGCGGGUGGGGAGCAUGGACGCUGCUGUGGGCCUGACCCCUCUGCCCAGAGGUGCUCAGGGCCCUGCUCUCCUGCACCUGCCUUCUCGUCCUGGGGAACGGAGCCGGGGGUGAGUGUGUGGGGUCACCAUCUGAUGGUGGGACACUGUGCGCCUACGGUGGGAUACGGGGGAAGGAGACAAAGUGCCACUAGAGUUUAACCACUUACCUACUGAAUGAUAUUUUUUGAUUUUUAUAAUUUUACCGCUUAUAAAUAAACCUGCCAUGAACUUCUUUGUGAAGGUUUCU